UGGCGGAGAUGUCGAUUGGAGGUUGUGCCCUUGAGGCGUGGCUUCCGGAGCUAACGCGUUAAAUCGACCGCCUGGGGAGUACGGCCGCAAGGUUAAAACUCAAAUGAAUUGACGGGGGCCCGCACAAGCGGUGGAGCAUGUGGUUUAAUUCGAUGCAACGCGAAGAACCUUACCUGGUCUUGACAUCCACAGAACUUUCCAGAGAUGGAUUGGUGCCUUCGGGAACUGUGAGACAGGUGCUGCAUGGCUGUCGUCAGCUCGUGUUGUGAAAUGUUGGGUUAAGUCCCGCAACGAGCGCAACCCUUAUCCUUUGUUGCCAGCGGUCCGGCCGGGAACUCAAAGGAGACUGCCAGUGAUAAACUGGAGGAAGGUGGGGAUGACGUCAAGUCAUCAUGGCCCUUACGACCAGGGCUACACACGUGCUACAAUGGCGCAUACAAAGAGAAGCGACCUCGCGAGAGCAAGCGGACCUCAUAAAGUGCGUCGUAGUCCGGAUUGGAGUCUGCAACUCGACUCCAUGAAGUCGGAAUCGCUAGUAAUCGUAGAUCAGAAUGCUACGGUGAAUACGUUCCCGGGCCUUGUACACACCGCCCGUCACACCAUGGGAGUGGGUUGCAAAAGAAGUAGGUAGCUUAACCUUCGGGAGGGCGCUUACCACUUUGUGAUUCAUGACUGGGGUGAAGUCGUACAGGGAAAACCCGAAAAAUAAAAAGACCCCCCAAGCUUCCGGCCCGAAAAGCUAGUGCUUUCGACCAGGGAGCCCCCCUCCGGCAAGCGGUUUUCCACAAAAAAAACACAGGCAUUCUCCCCCCACGACGCGGGAAAUUUCACCCCCCCCCGACAAAAACCCUCCCCCGUGCCCAGUUUUGAGAGAAAUAUUCCCCCAGGGAAAAACCCCGCGAAAAUACAGCAAAACAGAAAUAACACAAAAACAGGGCCGAGUCGAUAUUUCAUCCCCCCCCCUAUCUCUCGCAAAUAAAGAUUCUCUACCCCCCCCUAUAAUAACGCAACCCCCCCUCUGUGGUCCGGGAAAUAAAGAGCGG
rnacentral:rRNA from 1 species